rnacentral:rRNA from 1 species
GUCGAGAAUCUUUCACAAUGGGGGCAACCCUGAUGGAGCGACGCCGCGUGGAGGAUAAGGUCUUCGGAUUAUAAACUCCUGUCAUGCGUGAACAAGGUUGCUUGGUUAAUACCUGGGCAAAUUGAUGGUAACGCAAGAGGAAGAGACGGCUAACUCUGUGCCAGCAGCCGCGGUAAUACAGAGGUCUCAAGCGUUGUUCGGAAUCACUGGGCGUAAAGGGUGCGUAGGUGGCGUGGUAAGUCAGAUGUGAAAGCCCGGGGCUCAACCUCGGAACUGCAUCCGAUACUGCCAUGCUAGAGUACUGGAGAGGUGACUAGAAUUCUCGGUGUAGCAGUGAAAUGCGUAGAUAUCGAGAGGAAUACCAAAGGCGUAGGCAGGUCACUGGACAGUUACUGACACUGAGGCACGAAGGCCAGGGGAGCGAACGGGAUUAGAUACCCCUGUAGUCC